AGGACGAACGCUGGCGGCGUGCUUAACACAUGCAAGUGGAGCGACGAACCAGGGCUUGCCCUGGGGCAGAGCCGCGAACGGGUGAGUAACACGUGGGUUACCUGCCUUGAUGACCGGGACAACCCGAGGAAACUCGGGCUAAUACCGGAUGUGCCCGCAAGGGGAAAGGAAGCUUCGGCCUCCGCAUCAAGAUGGGCCCGCGGCCCAUUAGCUUGUUGGUGAGGUAACGGCUCACCAAGGCUUCGAUGGGUAGCUGGUCUGAGAGGACGAUCAGCCACACUGGGACUGAGACACGGCCCAGACUCCUACGGGAGGCAGCAGUGGGGAAUCUUGCGCAAUGGGCGAAAGCCUGACGCAGCAACGCCGCGUGUGGGACGAAGGCCUUCUGGGUUGUAAACCACUUUCAGCAGGGACGAUUGUGACGGUACCUGCAGAAGAAGCCCCGGCAACUACGUGCCAGCAGCCGC
rnacentral:rRNA from 1 species